rnacentral:lncRNA from 10 species
GGGGGAUGAAGGGAGAGCUUGAGAUACAGAAGCUGAGAGAGUUCUUUGCGGAGCUGCUUUUCAGCAGAGACCUGCAGCAUCAGAAAGAGCCAGUGAGCUGGUGACCUGGGAAAAGAGAGUUGCAGGCAAAGGGAACGGCCAGUGCAGAGGCCGUGGGGUAAGAAUAACCUUGGUGUGCUCCAGGGACAGAAAGAAGACCAGGGCACCCAGUCCACUGAGUGGAAGGAAGAGAAAUAUGCCAAGGGUGGAAAGCCGCCGUGUAAGAAGUACCUUUCACCUUCCACCAUGAUUGUGAGGCCUCCCCAGCCACGUGGAAAUGCUGCGUCAAUGAUUGUAGUGCUAAUUGUUACAGACAUGACCACAAUGCCAAGGCGAAUGGGGACAAUGAAAUCCAUGGCUGGUUUUAAGGGCAGGUGCAGAGGAUCCAGCAUGUUAUUCUGAAACCCCAGAAGACGCUGCAGCUACCAAAUAGAAGGAGCCUGGAUCCCUGAAUGUCUUCAUGGAACAGAACAUUCUCCUCACUCCAGUCUGUUUGAACCAGAAUAUGACCUGAGCAAGAAAUAAGCCUUAAUUAUAUUUGACCAUAGAAUUCUGGUGAUAUUUCUAUGGCUGUAAGUCCAUGUUGAUUAAUACAAAGGGAUGCUGUAAAGCCUCUUCUAUUAAAAAAAGUUGCCCAAGGAGUGAAAGGAGAGAUAUUUUCUGUAAUUAAGAUUUUCAUAAUACAUAGAACAGGCUAUAGCACCUGGCAAUCAAUCAUAUGGGGUACAACAGAAAGAGGAAACAUUCCUGCUAUUAAAUUAACCAAACUGGAGUUCUUGUUAUAUAAUAUAGUAAAAUUUCCUCAAUCUUUCAGCCACCUUUAGUUCUGUAAUCUAUUAUUUCUGGGUAAAAGCAUACCAUUUGAUACACAAUCCAAACCCAAUUCUUAAUUAAUAACGUGUAUCCACUGUAUCUUACCACAUCCCAAAUCAUCUAAUACUUAACCACCUAGUUUCUAUGUUCCACUUACAUCAAACAUAUUCAUGUUUGGAAAAUUGAGCCAGCAUCUACUGCCUUAUCAGCUGAUGCAUAACAAUUUACUUUGUCUGUGCUCUAUAAUAAUGCAAGUCUGCUUGGAAAGAUAACACGUUAAAGGGUUAUCAGACCCUAACACCUUCGUAUAGAUGAAUUUAUCAGAUCCUCUGCUAAACCACUUUCGAAUCCUUGGCCAGUUCUCUACAUUUCAUGAAGAGUUAGCAUAGCCAGUCCAGGAGAUAUUAUCUUCAGGAUGUGGUCAGUUGUGGAAAGGAAGAUAGCUCUGAGGAUCUCUUUCCAGGGAAAAGAAAGACAUGAGGAUUGCUCCAAAGAUCCUCUUUCUGGGGGAAAACGCACAUACUACAG